rnacentral:rRNA from 1 species
UACGAAGGGGGCUAGCGUUGUUCGGAAUCACUGGGCGUAAAGCGCACGUAGGCGGACUUUCAAGUCAGGGGUGAAAUCCCGGGGCUCAACCUCGGAAUUGCCUUUGAUACUGUAGGUCUCGAGUCCGGAAGAGGUGGGUGGAAUUCCUGGUGUAGCGGUGAAAUGCGCAGAUAUCAGGAGGAACACCUAUUGCGAAGGCAGCUCGCUGGGACGUAACUGACGCUGAGACGCGAAAGCGUGGGGAGCAAACAGG